rnacentral:rRNA from 1 species
AAUCAACGCUGGCGGCGUGCCUCAGACAUGCAAGUCGAACGAUUAAACUUUCCUUCGGGAAAGAUAUAAAGUGGCGCACGGGUGAGUAACACGUAAGUAAUCUACCUUCGAGUGGGGAAUAACGUCCGGGAAACGGACGCUAAUACCGCAUAAUGCAGCGGCAUCGCAAGAUGACAGUUGUUAAAGGAAUUUAUUUCGCUUGAAGNGGAGCUUGCGGCAGUAUUAGCUUUGGGUAAGGUAACGGCUUACCAAGGCUACGAUCUGUAACCGGU